rnacentral:rRNA from 1 species
GGGGGAUAUUGCACAAUGGGGAAACCCUGAUGCAGCGACGCCGCGUGAGGGAAGAAGGUUUUCGGAUUGUAAACCUCUGUCCUCAGUGACGAUAAUGACGGUAGCUGAGGAGGAAGCCACGGCUAACUACGUGCCAGCAGCCGCGGUAAUACGUAGGUGGCAAGCGUUGUCCGGAAUUACUGGGUGUAAAGGGAGCGUAGGCGGGAAUACAAGUUGGAUGUCUAAUCUACCGGCUUAACCGGUAUUCGCAUUCAAAACUGUAUUUCUUGAGUGAAGUAGAGGCAGGCGGAAUUCCUAGUGUAGCGGUGAAAUGCGUAGAUAUUAGGAGGAACACCAGUGGCGAAGGCGGCCUGCUGGGCUUUAACUGACGCUGAGGCUCGAAAGCGUGGGUAGCAAACAGGAUUAGAUACCCUGGUAGUCCACGCUGUAAACGAUGAUUACUAGGUGUGGGGGGUCUGACCCCUUCCGUGCCGGAGUUAACACAAUAAGUAAUCCACCUGGGGAGUACGACCGCAAGGUUGAAACUCAAAGGAAUUGACGGGGGCCCGCACAAGCAGUGGAGUAUGUGGUUUAAUUCGAAGCAACGCGAAGAACCUUACCAGGUCUUGACAUCCUUUGACCGCCUAAGAGAUUAGGUUUUCCCUUCGGGGACAGAGUGACAGGUGGUGCAUGGUUGUCGUCAGCUCGUGUCGUGAGAUGUUGGGUUAAGUCCCGCAACGAGCGCAACCCUUAUUAUUAGUUGCUACGCAAGAGCACUCUAAUGAGACUGCCGUUGACAAAACGGAGGAAGGUGGGGAUGACGUCAAAUCAUCAUGCCCCUUAUGACCUGGGCUACACACGUACUACAAUGGCCAUUAACAGAGGGAAGCAAAACCGCGAGGCGGAGCAAAUCCCUAAAAAUGGUCUCAGUUCGGAUUGUAGGCUGCAACUCGCCUACAUGAAGCCGGAAUUGCUAGUAAUCGCGGAUCAGCAUGCCGCGGUGAAUACGUUCCCG